UUGAACGCCGGCGGCAUGCCUUACACAUGCAAGUCGAACGGUAACGCGGGGCAACCUGGCGACGAGUGGCGAACGGGUGAGUAAUGCAUCGGAACGUGCCCAGUAGUGGGGGAUAGCCCGGCGAAAGCCGGAUUAAUACCGCAUACGACCUACGGGUGAAAGCGGGGGACCGCAAGGCCUCGCGCUAUUGGAGCGGCCGAUGUCGGAUUAGCUAGUUGGUGGGGUAAAGGCCUACCAAGGCGACGAUCCGUAGCUG
rnacentral:rRNA from 1 species